rnacentral:rRNA from 1 species
GAUGAACGCUGGCGGCGUGCUUAACACAUGCAAGUCGAACGAAGCACUUUAUUUGAUUUCCUUCGGGACUGAUUAUUUUGUGACUGAGUGGCGGACGGGUGAGUAACGCGUGGGUAACCUGCCUUGUACAGGGGGAUAACAGUUGGAAACGGCUGCUAAUACCGCAUAAUCGCACAGCAUCGCAUGCUGCAGUGUGAAAAGCUCCGGUGGUAUAAGAUGGACCCGCGUUGGAUUAGCUAGUUGGUGAGGUAACGGCCCACCAAGGCGACGAUCCAUAGCCGAGCUGGGAGGGUGACCGGCCACAUUGGGACUGAGACACGGCCCAAACUCCUACGGGAGGGAGGAGUGGGGAAUAUUGCACAAUGGGCGAAAGCCUGAUGCAGCGACGCCGCGUGAGCGAAGAAGUAUUUCGGUAUGUAAAGCUCUAUCAGCAGGGAAGAUAAUGACGGUACCUGACGAAGAAGCACCGGCUAAAUACGUG